rnacentral:rRNA from 1 species
CUAGCUUGCUAGAUUGAUGGCGAGUGGCGAACGGGUGAGUAAUACAUCGGAACGUGCCCUGUAGUGGGGGAUAACUAGUCGAAAGAUUAGCUAAUACCGCAUACGACCUGAGGGUGAAAGUGGGGGACCGCAAGGCCUCAUGCUAUAGGAGCGGCCGAUGUCUGAUUAGCUAGUUGGUGAGGUAAAGGCUCACCAAGGCGACGAUCAGUAGCUGGUCUGAGAGGACGAUCAGCCACACUGGGACUGAGACACGGCCCAGACUCCUACGGGAGGCAGCAGUGGGGAAUUUUGGACAAUGGGGGCAACCCUGAUCCAGCAAUGCCGCGUGUGUGAAGAAGGCCUUCGGGUUGUAAAGCACUUUUGUCCGGAAAGAAAUCGCACUUACUAAUAUUAGGUGUGGAUGACGGCACCGGAAGAAUAAGGACCGGCUAACUACGUGCCAGCAGCCGCGGUAAUACGUAGGGUCCAAGCGUUAAUCGGAAUUACUGGGCGUAAAGCGUGCGCAGGCGGUUGUGCAAGACCGAUGUGAAAUCCCCGGGCUUAACCUGGGAAUUGCAUUGGUGACUGCACGGCUAGAGUGUGUCAGAGGGGGGUAGAAUUCCACGUGUAGCAGUGAAAUGCGUAGAGAUGUGGAGGAAUACCGAUGGCGAAGGCAGCCCCCUGGGAUAACACUGACGCUCAUGCACGAAAGCGUGGGGAGCAAACAGGAUUAGAUACCCUGGUAGUCCACGCCCUAAACGAUGUCAACUAGUUGUUGGGGAUUCAUUUCCUUAGUAACGUAGCUAACGCGUGAAGUUGACCGCCUGGGGAGUACGGUCGCAAGAUUAAAACUCAAAGGAAUUGACGGGGACCCGCACAAGCGGUGGAUGAUGUGGAUUAAUUCGAUGCAACGCGAAAAACCUUACCUACCCUUGACAUGCCACUAACGAAGCAGAGAUGCAUUAGGUGCUCGAAAGAGAAAGUGGACACAGGUGCUGCAUGGCUGUCGUCAGCUCGUGUCGUGAGAUGUUGGGUUAAGUCCCGCAACGAGCGCAACCCUUGUCUCUAGUUGCUACGAAAGGGCACUCUAGAGAGACUGCCGGUGACAAACCGGAGGAAGGUGGGGAUGACGUCAAGUCCUCAUGGCCCUUAUGGGUAGGGCUUCACACGUCAUACAAUGGUGCAUACAGAGGGUUGCCAAGCCGCGAGGUGGAGCUAAUCCCAGAAAAUGCAUCGUAGUCCGGAUCGUAGUCUGCAACUCGACUACGUGAAGCUGG